rnacentral:lncRNA from 1 species
GCCUCAAGCUCUACCAGCCGGAGGAGUUCCACGUCAUCAACCCGACCAAGAAGACGCGCGUCGGCAACCCCGUCGGUUACAAGGUCGUCCCCGCCGGCACCGCCGCCAGCUUGCUCGACCCCGAGGAUCCGCCGCAGAAGAGAGGCGCCUUCACAAACAAUCAGGUCAGAUUUUAUAUGAUUGAGAUUUAGAAUGUUAUUAUAUAGAAAUGCAUGGGUUGACAUUAUUUGAUUUAAUUACAUUUGUGACACUAGAUAUGGGUGACACCCUACAACAAGAGCGAGGAAUGGGCAGGUGGUCUGUUCGUGUACCAGAGCAAAGGGGAGGACACGCUGGCCACUUGGUCCGAGAGGUGUGUGCGUGCACACGUUGCAUCGUAGCUC